GACGAACGCUGGCGGCGUGCCUAACACAUGCAAGUCGAGCGGAGAUUGCAGUAAUGUAAUCUUAGCGGCGGACGGGUGAGUAACGCGUGGGCAACCUGCCUUGUACAGGGGGGAUAACACAGGGAAACUUGUGCUAAUACCGCAUAACACAUAGAUAUGGCAUCAUAUUUAUGUCAAAGGAGAAAUCCGGUACGAGAUGGGCCCGCGUCCGAUUAGUUUGUUGGUGGGGUAAUGGCCUACCAAGACUGCGAUCGGUAGCCGAACUGAGAGGUUGAUCGGCCACAUUGGGACUGAGACACGGCCCAGACUCCUACGGGUGGCAG
rnacentral:rRNA from 1 species